rnacentral:rRNA from 1 species
AGCGAACGCUGGCGGCAGGCUUAACACAUGCAAGUCGAGCGGGCAUCCUUGUGGUGUCAGCGGCAGACGGGUGAGUAACGCGUGGGAACGUGCCCUUCGGUUCGGAAUAACUCAGGGAAACUUGAGCUAAUACCGGAUACGUGCGAGAGCAGAAAGGUUUAUCUGCCGAAGGAUCGGCCCGCGUCUGAUUAGCUAGUUGGUGAGGUUAUGGCUCACCAAGGCGACGAUCAGUAGCUGGUCUGAGAGGAUGAUCAGCCACACUGGGACUGAGACACGGCCCAGGCUCCUACGGGAAGCAGCAGUGGGGAAUAUUGGACAAUGGGGGCAACCCUGAUCCAGCCAUGCCGCGUGAGUGAUGACGGCCUUAGGGUUGUAAAGCUCUUUUCUCCGGGACGAUAAUGACGGUACCGGAGGAAUAAGCCCCGGCUAACUUCGUG